GCGGGGCGGGCCUGGUCGACUGGGUGGUGCUGAGAUAGAAGCGAGACGGUAGCGGGCGCUUGCGGGCCAGCCCUUUCGGACUGAGGCGAAGAGCAGGUAAAUUGGCCAGAGGCAUGAAUUUUUGAUGGAACUUGCCAGAUAACGCCAUUUGGAAAUGGAUCACAGAAUCAGCUAGAUACAGCUUGUGAAAGUGGCAGAAUAUACACCACUAGCCUGUUUGGGGCCCUCACACUUCCCACUUGCUUAGGAAGAAAGAGGCUGUGAAAGUGAUGGGGAGUUUAAUUAUAAAUGCUGACUCUCAAGUAACAAUGGGACACUG